GAUGAACGCUGGCGGCGUGCCUAAUACAUGCAAGUAGAACGCUGAAGGAGGAGCUUGCUCUUCUGGAUGAGUUGCGAACGGGUGAGUAACGCGUAGGUAACCUGCCUGGUAGCGGGGGAUAACUAUUGGAAACGAUAGCUAAUACCGCAUGACAACAGUUAUUGCAUGAUAACUGUUUAAAAGGGGCAACUGCUCCACUACCAGAUGGACCUGCGUUGUAUUAGCUAGUUGGUGAGGUAACGGCUCACCAAGGCGACGAUACAUAGCCGACCUGAGAGGGGGGUCGGCCACACUGGGACUGGGACACGGCCCAGACUCCUACGGGAGGCAGCAGUAGGGAAUCUUCGGCAAUGGACGGAAGUCUGACCGAGCAACGCCGCGGGAGUGAAGAAGGUUUUCGGAUCGUAAAGCUCUGUUGUAAGAGAAGAACGAGUGUGAGAGUGGAAAGUUCACACUGUGACGGUAUCUUACCAGAAAGGGACGGCUAACUACGUG
rnacentral:rRNA from 1 species